GUUGUAUGGUUAAGUGACUAAGCGUACACGGUGGAUGCCUUGGCAGUCAGAGGCGAUGAAAGACGUAAUAACUUGCGAUAAGCCCAGAUUAGGUAGUAAUAACCUUUUGAGUCUGGGAUUUCUGAAUGGGGAAACCCACGUGCACAAGCACGUAUCCUGUUGUGAAUACAUAGCAACAGGAGGCAAACCGGGGGAACUGAAACAUCUAAGUACCCCGAGGAAGAGAAAUCAACCGAGAUUCCGAAAGUAGCGGCGAGCGAAAUUGGAUUAGCCCUUAAGCUUUUAAUGAUGCAGGUGAAGAGUCUGGAAAGUCUCGCAAUAAAGGGUGAUAGCCCCGUAACCGACACAUCAUAAUCAGUGAAAUCGAGUAGGGCGGGACACGUGAUAUCCUGUCUGAAUAUGGGGGGACCAUCCUCCAAGGCUAAAUACUACUGACUGACCGAUAGUGAACCAGUACCGUGAGGGAAAGGCGAAAAGAACCCCUGUGAGGGGAGUGAAAUAGAACCUGAAACCGUGUACGUACAAGCAGUAGGAGCACCUUCGUGGUGUGACUGCGUACCUUUUGUAUAAUGGGUCAGCGACUUAAUUUUAGUAGCAAGGUUAACCGUUUAGGGGAGCCGUAGGGAAACCGAGUCUUAACUGGGCGUACAGUUGCUAGGAUUAGACCCGAAACCAGGUGAUCUAGCCAUGGGCAGGUUGAAGGUUGAGUAACAUCAACUGGAGGACCGAACCGACUAAUGUUGAAAAAUUAGCGGAUGACUUGUGGCUAGGGGUGAAAGGCCAAUCAAACCUGGAGAUAGCUGGUUCUCCCCGAAAGCUAUUUAGGUAGCGCCUCGGACGAAUACUACUGGGGGUAGAGCACUGUUAAGGCUAGGGGGUCAUCCCGACUUACCAACCCUUUGCAAACUCCGAAUACCAGUAAGUACUAUCCGGGAGACACACGGCGGGUGCUAACGUCCGUCGUGGAGAGGGAAACAACCCAGACCGCCAGCUAAGGUCCCAAAGUAUAGCUAAGUGGGAAACGAUGUGGGAAGGCUCAGACAGCCAGGAUGUUGGCUUAGAAGCAGCCAUCAUUUAAAGAAAGCGUAAUAGCUCACUGGUCGAGUCGGCCUGCGCGGAAGAUGUAACGGGGCUAAGCUAUACACCGAAGCUGCGGCUACGUACCUUAGGGUAUGUGGGGUAGGGGAGCGUUCUGUAAGCCGUUGAAGGUGGUCUGUAAGGGCUGCUGGAGGUAUCAGAAGUGCGAAUGCUGACAUGAGUAACGAUAAAGGGAGUGAAAAACUCCCUCGCCGGAAGACCAAGGGUUCCUGUCCAACGUUAAUCGGGGCAGGGUAAGUCGACUCCUAAGGCGAGGCCGAAAGGCGUAGUCGAUGGGAAACGGGUUAAUAUUCCCGUACUUCUUACAAUUGCGAUGGGGGGACGGAGAAGGCUAGGUGG
rnacentral:rRNA from 1 species